rnacentral:lncRNA from 1 species
AUUAAAUGAGCUAAAAAUUUUGUUUUUUUACAUAGAGGGCCAUUUUUGUCAUUCAAUAAAAAAUUAGACGGAGCUGUUAGAAAUAACUAAAAAAUUAACGGAAUUGGGGGCGUGAUGCAAAAUGUUAAUUUUUUUGAGUGCGUGGUGCAACAAGUCAAAUUUGUUGGGGACGCGGUGCAAAAUGUUAAUUUAUUUGGGGGUAAGUUACAAAUUUCCCUAUUUUUUUGGGAUUAACUUUACUCAACUUUUGUUUCCAGUCUCAAAUUUUGCCGCCCCAACAUGUCAUGUGUUCCGAUAUAUGUGGAUCUGCAAAGCACUCUAUUCAAUUUUGAUUUGUCUUCCCCUCCCUUAUUUGUACUGAGAUGGUCGUUCAUUUGACUCAAACUAAUAACAAAUAUAUAUAUAUAAAUUAGAUUAGGAGUUGAAAAAAAAUAUAUUAAUAAAUAGGGUACAAAAUAAUUAAUCUAGCUUUCGAGAAAAUUUUAGGUACCCUCAUAGUACACAUCUUUCUGUUAGAUUCUUGUUUUACAUAUCUUUAACUAAUUAAAUAAGGCACUUGGCAAGAAUUCAAUUAUACGAAGUGCCUAAAUAAUGUUGAGCUAUCGGUAUACAAUGAUCAUUAAUGGAUGUCAUUUAAGUUAUACACAAAUCUUGUAUUUGCAUUUAGGUAGUAAUAGAUUGUAAGUUGAAGCGGUUUCAUGUUGUGUUAUUAUCAUGCCAGGCUAAAUUUUGUUUCUUCAAAACCAACCAUUAAUUUAUUGAAUUAAAAAAAUCUAAACAAAAUCUGACCAUUAAUUUUAUCUUAUUACCGAAAACUAACCCUGUUGAAUCCACUAUUUUUCUUAAAUAAAAUUAUUUCCAUCAAAUAAUUGUUAAAUUGCCAUCCUCUCAAUCACUGAGGUAGCUUAAUUAACAAGAGUGUAUUAAUAGACUGCUGCACCAUCAAUAUUUUUUCCUUUUUAAAUUUGCCGGCUGUCCUUUUCUCCGAACUAGUUUUAUAUAUACCAAUAUAUACUUCAAUCUAAUUGAACAGUAUAUUUUAUGUCACGACAUGCCCAAAGACAAAUCAUAAUUUAAGUUGCUCCAUUAUUGACAUUAUUAAUUGAUUUAUUACAUAUAGUUGAAUCGUUGACUAUGCACAGGGAAGCCACAGAAAGAUUUCAUUUCGUUUGUAUUCAUAAACUAAUUGAAGUACUAGAUGAAAGAGCACACUUUCUUUCUAAUUAAUAUAUGAUCUAAGUAUCAUCAUUUCUCAAAUUUAAUUAAAAAUUAUGUUUUGCAAGGUAGUUUAGUCCAUAUAAUUUGAGCUGAGUGUUCAUUUAAUCAUUAUAUUAUAAAAAUAAUUCAAGACAUCCUGCAUUAAAUGUGUUACACUUAUGUUUGCUAUAAUAUUUUUGAGAUAUUAAUAAAAUAAUAAUAAUGAUCAAAUUAACGUAAAAAAUAACAUAGAAUUUACACAAAUUUUUGUAUUAUUAUUUUACUUUUAGGAUUAACUUGGUAAAUUAUUUUUUUAUAAAAUAAUUAUUAGUAAGAUUGUUGUACAGGUAUAAAAAUAUUAGUUCUUUCACACUGAUAUUUAUUGGUUAAUGCACUAAUAAAUAAUUAUUAAUUUAUUUACAAUUACUUUUAUGGAUAAAUUAAUUAAUGUCAAAAAUAUUGUCAAAAGGAAAUUAUUGUAAAAGUAAAAAAAAAAAAAGGUAAGAAUAUAACAUUUUUAACUGCAGGAGGUGUUUUAAGUCAUUUCUAAAAUAUAAUGACUAAACAAAUAAUUAAGUUAAAAUAUAAAGACUAAACAGAUAUUUACUCAUAUUUUGUUUAUAAAAUUAAAAUUCUAAAUUAUACAACUUGUCACUAUCAAAAUUUGUUGUCAUUUACUCGAUGGAUAUAUUAAAAUAUCACAUAAUUCAAGAUACCUUUAGUAUUAUUCAUGUCAUCAUGUCAUCAAAAUUGAAGCAUGAAAUGUUGAGCUCAAAAUCGAUCAUAUACCAAAGUGUGUGACAUCAUAUGUUUAUUUGACCACACAACUAAAAUGGUAUGUGUCUAUCUCCGGAAUCAAUUGGAAUAUACCAAAUCAAAAGCCAUUAAAUUGUGACUUUUAAGCUUCAAGAUGAUGGAUCAAAGAACCCAAAAACGAUUUCCGCAUACCAAACCAUAAGGGGUGUGGAAAGCUGAACACUCGCGAUUGGUCAAAAAAUAAUGUCCCUGCACAACAUGGGAUCAUAUUAAACAUUCAUGGUGUUUCAAAAUUUCAACCUUUAAUUUUGACCUUCAAUAAUGUAAUAAUUUCAACUUUCAAAAACAAUAACUCCACUUUUUGGAAAAAAUAAAUAAAGUUUCAUGAGGUCUUAUAUGAUGAAAUUUUCUCCAUUAUUUUGGAGUAAUUAUUUAACUUGUUAGUUAGCUUGAGAAUUUGAGUAUUUCAUAUGUUUGGGAACAUAUUAGCGAACUUCAACUUGGACAAAUUUAGACAGAUUCCAUAAGCAUUAAUGUAAAUACAAGGUCCCUAUAUGACUUCUUUUUCUUUUUUAUGCAUUUACUAGUCAAUCCAUACUAUAUCGUGUAAGGUUCAAAGUAAAGUGUUCAAAUGUUCUAGAUUUUUGUGCUACUUAUUUUAUUUAAAAUUUUGUUGUAGGAGUAAAUUGAAUAUUUAAAUAAUAGACCUUGAAAUUUUGAAAUUAAUAAUAGCUAAAUUUAAGACCACUUAUUAUUAAUCAAUUUAUAACCAUAUAAGUCAACUGUGGAUAUUCUUCAUUACCAUUUAAAUAGAAGAAUAUUCUUUAUAACACUAAAUAUACAUUAAUGCAUCUAGACGUGGAUCCAUCGAAUUGUGCAAGAAUCAUGCUAUCAUGAAACCUUUCUAAAUCAUUUGAACAUUUUUCUAACCCCUACUUCAAGUUGUUUUGACAAAAGAGAAGUUCAAGAUUUCCAGGUAAAUUCAUAAAAUAUGUACAAUUUUAUGUAGCAUAUUCCAAGGACAUUUAAACCUGGUGCCCCAUUUCUGCCCAACAAGCUACAUGAUCCCAAUGUCCCUACUUGGCCUAAUCAGAUGCAUAUUUUCUAUAAUAAAUAAGUCAAAUGUUAAAAUUUUUAACAAAACAAUCCCAUAUUUUUCCAUCUUCCAUCGUUCUCCAUCCCCUUCUUGUGACACGUUAAGUUAAAUAUAACAUCACAUGACUCCAAUUUGAUUGAAUAGAUAGAUGUAUUAGAAAGGAAGAAUAAAAAAUGUCCCUCAAUAUACGGGUAAUAAAUGGAAAAAUUCUAAUCCUUGACUUUAAUAAUUAGAUAACGAAAAGUGGUCAUAAAUCUAUCAAUAAGUCCAAAAAUCUUUUUUAACAUGCCUAAAAACAUAUAAUUUUAUAUUUUAAUAAUGAUUACAAACAAGAACCCAUAAUGAAAUUUUAAGGAAAUGUGACAUUACCCAAAAUAGAAAAUAAUAUUCUCACAAUUAAAUGUAAAGACU